rnacentral:lncRNA from 1 species
AUAAUACCAUGUGGUAUUAUAUUAGUAUUUCUUUUCUCUCCCUCUCUCUUCUUUUCUUUCUUUUUCUUUUUCUCUCUUUCUCUCUCUCUUCUCUCCCCUUUUCUUCCGUGCGGACAGCCCCCUCCCCACGCCAACUCUCUCUUUCUCUCUCCCUUUGACCAUUCAACCUUAUCUCUUCUUCUCUCUCCUCUCUCUUCUCCCCCACGUGACCUUCUUCUUCUUCUUCAUUCUUCUUUGUGCGAACCAGACCAAAACCAGCAAAGAAGAGCAGCAGCUCGCCGAGGACCACCGUCGCCCGUCCCGUCGCCGCACCGGAGCCGAACCGCCCGCGACGCCGCCUGCACAACGCCGCGCGUUCCGCCGGCCAUCCCUCGCGCCCAAGCGUGCUCCCCCGCGCGAUCCAGCUGCUGCCCAUCCUCUGUCCAGCUCUGUUCGGCCACGAUCCGGCCACCUCCGGCCACCGUGGGCCACCGCUCGGCCUCGCCAAGCCACCACCCGCUCUCCCGACCUCUUACCGCCCCCAACCCUCUCUCUUUCUUGCUGUUUUGCGGCCGAACCAGCAAACCCACGGAGUGGGUAUCCAGCUGUUCGUGGGCCGUUUUGGGCCGUUUCCCGGCCCCGAACCCGAGGCCCGCUUUGGGAAGAAUUGUUCCUCGCGUCGCCGCCGUCGGAUUGAUCCGAUUUGCGCGCGAUUUGGUGAGUAAUCUCACUAAUCUUUGAUUAGUUGGCUAAUUAUGCUUUAGGUUGGUUUAGUUUUAAUUAAUUAUGUUUAGGUUGUUAGAUUAGAAUUAAUUAGCAAUUAUUAGUCAAUUGUGAUGUGAUUUAGAUAAAUUGAUUGUGCAAUUAGCAAGUAGACGUGGUCUACUAUUUAUUGGAAGUAUCUCGGGAAUUUUCCGACCCCUAAUUGGGCUUCAAUUUGGCAAUUCGGGCCUAAGUGAGAUUUUUGGGCAUUUAAAUAUUAAUUUUCGGAAUUAAAUUAAAUAAUUAUUUAUUUUCCGAAAAUUCAAGGGAGAUGGUUUGUGACCGGAAAAUUAUGCUGGUGACCGUGGUGAAGUCCGUUUAUUUAAUCGGGCUUUAAAUUGAGUUAAAUCGAAUUUUUAAUACUAAUUAUUUAAUUUUCGAAAUUUAUUAAUUAAUUAAUUAUUUUCCGAAAAUUCAACUGGGAUGGCCCGUGACCGGAAAAUUUUGCUGAUGACCGUGGUGAAGUCCGUUUAUUUAAUUGGGCCUUAUUUUGAGCUAAACGGAAUUUUUAAUGUUUAAUAAUUAAUUUUCGAAAUUAAUUAAUAAUUAAUUAUUUUUCGGAAAUUAAGAUUGAGAUGGCCGACGACCGAAAUCUCGUGCUGAUUGUAGUGGUGCAGUCUGUUUAUUUAUUUGAGCUUUGAAUUGUGCCAAAUUAAAUUGAAUGUGGAAUUUAGGAUAUAUUCCUAAAUAGUUGUGGUUAAUUAUUUCAUUGAGAAACCAUUGAAUCUUGCAAGUGGUCGAGUGGGACCGUAAAGCCAUUGAAUCUUGCAAGUGGUCGAGUGGGACCGUAAAGCCAUUGAAUCUUGCAAGUGGUCGAGUGGGACCGUAAAGCCAUUGAAUCUUGCAAGUGGUCGAGUGGGACCGUAAAGCCAUUGAAUCUUGAAAGUGGUCGAGUGGGACCGUAAAGCCAUUGAAUCUUGCAAGUGGUCGAGUGGGACCGUAAAGCCAUUGAAUCUUGAAAGUGGUCGAGUGGGACCGUAAAGCCAUUGAAUCUUGAAAAUGGUCGAGUGGGACCGUAAAGCCAUUGAAUCUUGCAAGUGGUCGAGUGGGACCGUAAAGCCAUUGAAUCUUGAAAGUGGUCGAGUGGGACCGUAAAGCCAUUGAAUUUCGAAAGUGGUCGAGUGGGACCGUAAAGCCAUUGAAUUUCGAAAGUGGUCGAGUGGGACCGUAAAGCCAUUAAAUAUUGAAUGUUGUCGAGUGGUGGACUGUGUCUUCCACCUUUGCUUAAGAUGUGAUUUGAGGACCGUAGUUCGUAAUUGAUGAUUGAGAUGGAAUAAUCGAAUUGACCUAGAAUGGUCCGUCUGACAUGUAAUCGACGAGGUCGAUUGAUCAUUGCUUUGAUUUGAUGUUGUGAAUUGAUUGACUGAAUGGAAAUGACCGUGAGUGGUCUUGUUGGCAUAUAAUCGACUAUGUCGAUUUGAUCGAUGCUUCGAUCUGUGUUAUUAUUGAUUAGGUGCCUAUUAUGAAUUGUACUGACUUGCAGGUGGGAUCUGAUGCCAAGGUACGUCUUCUGCCCUGUGCGUGUAUAGGCAGCCUAUAGUAUAGUGGUUUACUAAUCGGGCUUAGUGGGGUAGAACUCGCUGAGACGUAGUCUCAUCCCAGUUUGGGGAAAAACAUUUCAGGACCCGAUAAGGAGCUGAGGAGGAGAAGUCUGGGAAGGAGAUCUUGGAGGUGAAACUUGAAGGGAAGGAUUUUGAAAGAAGAAGAUAAUACCGAGAUGGGCCUUGAGUAUGGCAUGGAUGGAUUGAGAUCCUAUCUUCUUUUGAGAUCUCCAUUUUGAUGUGAAUAGUUUUGAAGUGGUUUUUGUUUUGUAUAAAAGUUUGGUUAUAAAUUUCAAUAUGAAAAAUAUGGCCAUACUUUUCUAUCCCAUCGUUUUAUUGUCUGGGGAUUUUAACUGCUUCCGCAUGUGCUUAAUAAACUAAAGGGUCGGCGAUACUUGUCCUGGGAUAUCGCAUUAUAAAAUCGACCAAAUGAGAAGGAUGUGUGCGUGCCCGAGGAUCGGGGCGUGA